GCUCCUCCCCCCACUUCUUCAACAGCCUGCCAAUGAGGACCUAACAUGCUGUGGACUAAAUCUUCAAGAAUUUUGAUAUUAAGGGUCUAAAUUGACUACAGAGAUCCACAUGCGUUGAAAACAUCAAGUAGCUACAUGACAAAUGUUGAAUCCUGUGCCACUCAUAUCCUCCAUCUGAUCACUGAAAUGUGCAUCCCAAGAUGGUGCUCUUGAGCUGUGCUGAAACAUCUUCAGACAGGACUCUGGGUCCACAAGGAAGCAAGGAUAACGAAGGACAUCACUAAAGAACCAACUGGAUGCAGCAUUCCUAGGAGGCCAAAACCGUGUAGGAAACAGCAUCACGGACAGCUGGCCUCUGAAGAGCAAUUGAUUCCUUCCAGGCCAAGGGCAAGCAUUUCAAACAGUGCCCACCAGAGUAAAACUGAAGACUGCUACCAGAACACAUCUGUCCGCAUGGCCCUGACACAGUAGCUUGGACUCCCAGCUUAUACCACCUUCCUUUACUGGAGUUAUUUUUCAUUGCAUUCCAAAGGCAGAAACUCUUGGUCAUGAUCAGCAAAGAGUUUAAUGUGGUGGCAGGCGGCUUUCUACUGAAAUGAAGCUUCAUUUCAAACAAAACACAUGGCGGCCACUUGGGAGGCUCCUGCUCAGUGAUGUGAGCCAGGCCCCGGGAUCUCUCCAUCUUCCUGCUCCGCCAUCCUCAGCAUACUGACUUCUCACCGUGCAUGUGUUCAUGCAUGGAAGCCAAGGAUUAGUACCAGCUCCAAGUUUAACUUCCACACAGCUGCUUUCAACAGAAAAGCCAGCUUCUCAUGAAAAUCUGUCUAAGAGUGAAGGAAAUUUUCCCAGAAAUCGGUCAGUAGUCGUUUUUAA